UGUGUAGUGCCGUCACCUGUUUGGAUCGAUGUAGGUGUCGUAAACGUCUCGUGUGUGUGCGAGCUGUCGCUAAUGCUCUCGAUGUGAGAAAUUUGUGUUGGUGGGGAGUGGGCGUGGUCGCUUGUAGAGUGAUGGUUGAGCUUUUCGGCGUUGUAACAGACUGUAGGGUGCACUCGUGUCUCUCUGUAUUGGUUGGUAUGAAUGGAAAAGGCGGGAAGUUGUGUGUGUCAUUUUUAUCUGUUUGUGUGCUACAGCUGUGUCUUGUUGUGUGUUAUUGUAGGUGUGUGUGUUGGCUCGUUGAAACCUGCUCAUCAUCUCUGCUUGUUUCAAGUGUGACAGCGUCGAGAGCAAAUACUUCACAUUGAACUCUUCAGCGUUCACUCUCUGUCAUAGAGUGCCGGCUCAUCAGCAGAGAACAUGUCCAAUGAACACGUGACUAUCUGUUUUGAAAGGAUGAAUGGAAGAUGGGUGAGGAGAAGCAAGGAGACGGAUGUCUACAGCAUGGGAGUCACCCUGGUGGAGCUGAAUGUUUACUGUUCAAUCACUUGCUAGGAUCCUCAUCAGAGAGAUGACCGAGUGCAUCAACUAUGACAGCAGAGACUGGUCACACUGGCAUGUGAUCAUAACUGAUGGCUGUGAUGUCGACUAAGGGAAAGAAACUGGCAACUUUGGGAUGAGGAUUUUCCUGUACAACAAGAGGAAAAAUGAAAGCUGGACAUUUGUGAGUGUGUGAGAAGGAUAUGUAGUGUUAGUAUGAGUACAUUAGCAAACUUUCCAACUGUGUCAUCACGUGUGACAAUAACUCUUCUAGCAUAUAGUCUCAUGCUUACUGCAUUACAUCCUUGUCAGUCAUUGGUAUAUAUCACAAUACAAGUACAGCAAUAAUUGUUAUACUCUAA